UUGGAUGUUCUACUUGUUUGGAUGUUCUACUUGUUUGGAUGUUCUACUUGUUUGGAUGUUCUACUUGUGCCUCAUGUUCCUUUAAGCCCCGGAGGUCACUUCCCUGUCUCCUCCUCCUCCUCACUGUGGUUCAUGUUCAGCUCUGCGUCAGGGACAAAUCUGUCAACUGGAGCAUUUUUCAGAUUUCAAACUGUCUCUUCCUCAUCGGUGGGUUAAAUGCACAAGCACCACGUGAUUUACAACACAGGAUGUUUAUACAAGUCUAGAAAUAUGUUUUAUGAAGCCAAGUUGUAUUUUGAAGUUAUUCUGUUGUUAUAAACGAUCUGUUACCUGCCGUUACCUGCUAACGGCGGUAGCUCUUCCAGUGUUUGUCUGUAAAUGUUUAUAAACCGUGUUUUAGUUUAUUAAUGUGAAGUUUACUGCUGUGUACGACUAGAAUCUGUCAUUUCAAGUUCUGCUGAUACAAGAGACUGAUUAGAGCAGCACAUGAAAAUACGUUUGUGUUUGGUCAAGUUCAGGGUUAUUUAUAUUAACUUGUUUUUCUUUUGUACAAAACCUGUAACAGAUAAUAUAGGAAAUAAGUGUGUAAAGACUAAAGUAUUAGUGCAGAGUCAUAGAGCAGAAGCAGCACAGUUCAGUGUAAACUGUUAACGGUCAGACCCCAUGACUCAGCAGAGCUGUUUUUCUGUCCUUACACAAUUAAAGUUGUUCUGUUUCACCAAA